GGAGCGGAUUGCAUCUCAACAGGAAAUUAAAAAGGCCUACCACAAGUUGGCAUUAUAGCUGCAUCCUGACAAAAAUCAAAAUGACGAGAAUGCCAAUGAAAAGUUCCAGAAAUUGCAAAAAGUAAUGUCAAUACUUGGAGAUCCAGAGAAGAGAAAACUUUAUGAUGAGACUGGUUGUGUUGAUGACCAGGACCUUGCUGGGGAUGCAGUUCAGAAUCUAUGUGAUUUUCUCAGGACGUUGUAUAAAGAGGUGACUAAUGCUAGUUGUAUGCUGAUUUAUGCGGUUUAGAAUUUAGAUGGCGGCCACAUUUAAAUUAUAGAGAAUGGUUAUGGUUGUAGCCAUGGUUAACAGAUUUGAAAAAUUGUAUUUGUUU